rnacentral:snRNA from 1 species
GUACUCGCUUCAGUGGUACAUAUACUAAAAUUCGAACUACAUAGGGAGAAGAUUAGCAUAGCCCCCCUGUACAAGGAUAACCCAUAAAAUAGUGAAGCGUUUCACAUUUCG